rnacentral:sRNA from 1 species
CGUCCCUGCCUUUCAGGCAUCCUCUCCUAAAAACUCAGCUGGCCGGUCCUUCGGGACCGGCCUUUUUUUUGUCAUCC